rnacentral:rRNA from 1 species
UGGGGAAUAUUGGACAAUGGGCGCAAGCCUGAUCCAGCCAUGCCGCGUGAGUGAUGACGGCCUUAGGGUUGUAAAGCUCUUUCGCACACGAGGAUAAUGACGGUAGUGUGAGAAGAAGCCCCGGCUAACUUCGUGCCAGCAGCCGCGGUAAUACGAAGGGGGCUAGCGUUGUUCGGAAUCACUGGGCGUAAAGCGCUCGUAGGCGGAUAUUUAAGUCAGAGGUGAAAGCCUGGAGCUCAACUCCAGAACUGCCUUUGAUACUGGGUAUCUUGAGUCCGGUAGAGGUGAGUGGAACUGCUAGUGUAGAGGUGAAAUUCGUAGAUAUUAGCAAGAACACCAGUGGCGAAGGCGGCUCACUGGACCGGUACUGACGCUGAGGAGCGAAAGCGUGGGGAGCAAACAGGAUUAGAUACCCGCGUAGUCC